rnacentral:rRNA from 1 species
UACGGAGGGGGCUAGCGUUGUUCGGAAUUACUGGGCGUAAAGCGCACGUAGGCGGCUUUGUAAGUUAGAGGUGAAAGCCCGGGGCUCAACUCCGGAAUUGCCUUUAAAACUGCAUCGCUAGAAUUGUGGAGAGGUAAGUGGAAUUCCGAGUGUAGAGGUGAAAUUCGUAGAUAUUCGGAAGAACACCAGUGGCGAAGGCGGCUCACUGGACCGUAACUGACGCUCAUGCACGACAGCGUGGGGAUCAAACAGG